rfam:Schistosoma curassoni strain Dakar, Senegal genome assembly, scaffold: SCTD_scaffold0013444
GCACUGCUGAGGAGUCCCACAAUAGGACAAAACAUCCGUCCAGUGC